rnacentral:lncRNA from 1 species
CUCAGGCUCUGGUUUGGCCAUUUCUGGACUGUUUCAUCAUUGGUCCUUAGAACUCUGGACGUGAGAAGGAGCCUUGUAUAUCCUUUGAAUCAUGGAGGAAGUUUAGGACAAUGAACAAAAUGUGAGCUGCCCCCAUAUUUGCUGCUUCUGUAUCUAUCCAGCUGUGUAGAGAUGUUGGCCAACAGUAACCCAGUCCUCAUUGAUUCUUUCUGAAGCAGAAAAGGUAACUGAAGAUGAAAGUUAAAGCAAAUUGCCCAACAUCUCCCACUGGGUCAAAAAGAGGCCCUGAACUGAGAUUGAAGCCCAGUCCGCCUGACUGCAGAGCCCAGCUGCACCCCAAACUCCGUCCGAAUGCUGGAAUUACCCCCCCGCCUUCACCAGGGCCACCUGCCUGCAGACACUGCCUGCAAACUGCUCAAAAGAUGCCCAGGAGAAGAGAGAGGAGCAAAAGACGUCCCUAAUUUCCAUACCCGGCAAUCCGCUAUACAAACUCUCUAGUAACUCUUAAAUGCUAUUGGAAGCAAUUAAAUAAAAAUCCUGGGAUAAUGACUUGUUUUUAACAUUAGAGCCUAAA